rnacentral:rRNA from 1 species
CAUGCCGUAAACGAUGAGUGCUAAGUGUUAGGGGGUUUCCGCCCCUUAGUGCUGCAGCUAACGCAUUAAGCACUCCGCCUGGGGAGUACGACCGCAAGGUUGAAACUCAAAGGAAUUGACGGGGGCCCGCACAAGCGGUGGAGCAUGUGGUUUAAUUCGAAGCAACGCGAAGAACCUUACCAGGUCUUGACAUCCCCAGUGACCACUCUAGAGAUAGAGUUUUCCCUUCGGGGACAUUGGUGACAGGUGG